rnacentral:rRNA from 1 species
UUAAGAUACUAAGAGCAUACGGGGGAUGCCUUGGCGAUAUCUGCCGAAGAAGGACGUGACAAGCUGCGAAAAGCUGCGGAGAGAUGCAAAUAAUCUUAGACCCGCAGAUAUCCGAAUGGAGCAAUCCGGCUGUGGUUAUGCACAGUCAUCCAUACCAUUGAGUAUGAGAAGGGAACCGGACGAACUGAAACAUCUAAGUAAUCCGAGGAAGAGUAAUCAAACGAGAUACCCCAAGUAGCGGCGAGCGAACGGGGCAGAAGCCCAAACCGCGGAAGGAAACUUUUGCGGGGUAGAGGGCCAUCAAUAAAACAAGAACCUUUAGCUGAAUCUGUUGGGAAACAGAGCCGAAGACAGUGAAAGCCUGGUAAGCGAAAGAGGGACUUGCGGAGAUGGUACCGGAGUACUGCGGGACACGAGAAAUCCCGUAGGAAGCAGGGGGGACCACCCUCCAAGGCAAAACACAGAUAUCGACCGAUAGCGAAUAGUACCAUGAGGGAAAGGUGAAAAGCACCCCGGGAGGGGAAUGAAAAAGAACCUGAAACCGUAUGUUUACAAGCAGUCGAAGACCGCUUAAUAAUAAGGUCAACGGCGUGCCUAUUGAAGAAUGAACCGGCGAGUUAUGAGGUCUGGCGAGGUUAAGCAGGAAAUGCGGAGCCGAAGCGAAAGCGAGUCUUAAUAGGGCGAAAGUCGGAUUGCAUAGACCCGAAACCACAGUGAUCUACCCAUGUCCAGGUUGAAACACAGGUAAAAAUGUGUGGAGGACCGAACCUAUAUCCGUUGAAAAGGGUUAGGAUGAGGUGUGGGUAGGGGUGAAAUUCCAAUCGAACGUGGAGAUAGCUGGUUCUCCCCGAAAUAGCUUUAGGGCUAGCCUCAGGGAAGAGAUUACAGGCGGUAGAGCACUGAUCAGGGGCGGGACCUACCCGGUUACCAAACCUAGUCAAACUCCGAAUGGCUGUAAUUAUACCUGGGAGUCAGACUACGACUUAUAAGGGCCGUAGUCAAAAGGGAAACAGCCCAGACCAUCAGCUAAGGUCCCCAAUGCCGUGCUAAGUGGAGAAGGAUGUGGCAUUUCAUAAACAACCAGGAUGUUGGCUCAGAAGCAGCCACCAUUUAAAGAGUGCGUAAUAGCUCACUGGUCGAGAGACGCUGCGCCGAAAAUGUCCGGGGCUCAAGCACGGAACCGAAGCUAUGGCAGACGCAAGUCUGGGUAGGGGAGCGUUCUUAUGAGGAAGAAGCAUGACCGUAAGGACAUGUGGACACAUAAGAAGUGAGAAUGCCGGUAUGAGUAUCGAAAAGAAAGGUGAGAAUCCUUUCCACCGAAAGCCCGAGGGUUCCUGAGCAACGAUCGUCGACUCAGGGUAAGUCGGGACCUAAGCCGAGGCGAAAAGCAUAGGCGAUGGACAACAGGUUGAAAUUCCUGUACCGGAUAAAGUCGUUACGAGCAAUGGAGUGACGCAGGAGGGUACAUGAUCGCGCGACUGGAAGAGCGCGUCCAAGUGAGUAUGUAGAUACAGAGGCAAAUCCCUGUAUCUGAAAGCAGAGACAUGAUGGGGAGUUAAAGGAAACUUUGACGAACUGAUGGAUCCCACACUGCCAAGAAAAACUUCUAGCCAGACAAUAUCCGCCCGUACCGUAAACCGACACAGGUAGGCGGGGAGAGAAUCCUAAGGUGCGCGGGAAAACCCUCGUUAAGGAACUCGGCAAAUUGCAUCCGUAACUUCGGGAGAAGGAUGACCCUGAGUAAAAGAAGAGCAGAAACGCUUAGAGGAGAAAAGGGUGGCAGAAAAGAGGCCCAAGCAACUGUUUACCAAAAACACAGGUGCCUGCGAAAGCGAAAGCUGAAGUAUAGGUGCUGACGCCUGCCCGGUGCCGGAAGGUUAAGGAGAGAGGUCAGCUAAGGCGAAGCUUCGAACUGAAGCCCCGGUGAACGGCGGCCGUAACUAUAACGGUCCUAAGGUAGCGAAAUUCCUUGUCGGGUAAG